ensembl:lncRNA
GUAAGUUUAAACAACAACACUACGGUAGCCAUGCUACAUCGACUAGCCAGCUGUAGUUAUUUACAAUUCAGCAGGGUCCUCCUUCGUCUGUACAGUGUUUGAAAUGUGUACGAUUACUGUUUAGUAACAGAAAUUAUGUCUAAUAACAUGAAUUAUGUCGAAUUCCUCCAGUUUCAAACAGAGAUCCAGCAGGGAGAGUCAGUGUGAGGGCAAUCUGUCAUAGGUCCUACAGGAAGAGUGAAAAGCCACACGACCUCAGAAUAACUUUUGAAAACAGCUCGCCUGUUACAAUUGCUGCUGCUGAAUGCACAUGUGUUGCUGGAAAAGUCCUGUGCAAUCACAAUGUUGGACUUCUUUUUCAAACGGCACAUUACUCAACCCUGAGACUGAAGGCAGUUCCCCCCGUCCUUAGCUGCACAGAAACAGAGCAGAAAUGGCAUAAGCCACGGACUAUGGUAAGCACUUAAUACCAAAGUGAGAAUAUUAUUUAUUAUUAAUACUAUUGUUGUUAU